AAAUUGGUGGAUUUCAAGUAAUCAAGCAAUCAAAGGUGGUGAAUCCUCCAAUAAAGGCAAAAAAAUUGUACCCGAGGAUCAACAGUCGGAGUACUUUAAAACUUCGACUCUCGAAAUAAUCAAGAGGCGGCCGGUAACUAGAUCAAGGUGCCCUUGUAGAUUCGUUUCCUUAGUAGGUAUCUCGGCAUUCAAUAGCCGUACAUCACUCGGGUCUUUUCGCUGGAAAUCGAGUCUUCUUUUUUAGAUGUAUAGACAAACUUGAUGUAAAUUAUUAAGAUACAUGUU